rnacentral:rRNA from 1 species
UAAGGAGGGUGCAAGCGUUAAUCGGCAUUCCUGGGCGUAAAGCGCACGCAGGCGGUUUGUUAAGUCAGAUGUGAAAUCCCCGGGCUCAACCUGGGAACUGCAUUUGAAACUGGCAAGCUAGAGUCUCGUAGAGGGGGGUAGAAUUCCAGGUGUAGCGGUGAAAUGAGUAGAGAUCUGGAGGAAUACCGGUGGCGAAGGCGGCCCCCUGGACGAAGACUGACGCUCAGGUGCGAAAGCGUGUGGAGCAAACAGG